rnacentral:lncRNA from 1 species
CUGGCUUCAGUGGAGAUGCGGGCAAAGCAGAUGGCUACAUGGUCAGCCUGGUGGAGAAGCUGGAGGUGAGUCCUGCCGUGAGGGCUCAGGAGUCUGCACAGAAGAGCUGGGCACACGGGCAUGAUUUGAACAGGGUCUCCAAGGGAGAAUGUAAAGGGGAGAAUUGUUCUGAGCAGGGCAUCUGUAUGUGCAAAGGCACUGAGCCACCACCGCUGUGGGUGUGGCACAUCUAGAACAUCUGGAGGGGAGAUCCCGCCAGUGUGCAUGAGGAAGAAAGGAAGCGACUGAGUUACAAGGUGGUACCCAAGAGAGGCAGCCUUCCACUGUGUACUGUGGGAUGAAGACAUUCCCUGACAGCCAGUGAGUGUCCAUAAGUGUCUGCCUCAUGGACCAUGCAUCCUGGGCCCUGCCGGGCUAUCCCUCUCAGCCACCCACCUGGUACUGCCCUCCUUCUCUGCCUUCUUGACCAGGUCAUGCGAUAUUGAUAAUGAGGAAGAGAGAAGGGGGUGGUUUCUGGGAGCGACCUAUGAGAACUGAGCCUAGUGGGCAGUGGCCUGGGCCUGGGGAUAUGGCAACUUCCUGAGCAGACUUGGCUUGCCCAGAAAGGGAUGGACCUGACUCAGCUCCGUUCUCACAGCCUCACCCCAGACAGGAACAAGUGAGUCCUUCCGAGCCCGUUCAUCGUCCCCGCUCCAAAGCCAUGGAGGAAGCCUCCAUUUUGGUCCACUUGCCAGGAAUGGAGUGGGUUUUCUUCCUCCUUCCAGCCUGCCCUGGUGCGCCCUCCAUGUCCCUGCUGCCCAGCUUCUUGGCACCAAGCCCCGGCAUCGCGCUGUGCUGUCUGUCACCUUUUAUUACAAAACCUUCUGAAAUUCUCCAAAUCGUCUCGCCGGUUAUCGUGUUCAACCACAGUGUGCUUGCAGGAGCCUCGAGCUGGAACCACAAGGCAGCCACAGUGCGUCGGGGACUUCUGUUCUGUGCCCAGGAGGGCCCCCCUCCUUUCUCCUCCCCACUAGGCAAGUUUUGCCAUGCUUCCUUCUCCCUCCCCCCUCCUCCUCCUCUUCCCCUCCUCCUUGAGUCAGAUAGUGUAGGGAUGUAAGGCGAGUCCCUCUUGCUGGGGAUGGAUCUGCAGAAGAUCUGUGGGGGCUGUGAGGCUUGCAGGGGUGCUGGAGUUCUGAGAGGAGCAGAAAGCUAGGGGGAGGGGAGGAGGAGGAAGCCAUUGGUUGGUCUCAUGUGCUCAAAGCUUUGCAGCAGGCAGGUUCUGGACUCCGUGCCAGGGCCUCUCCCAGGACUGGAGGUGGGUAGGGUUGUUCUGAUUGCUCCACCCAUUCCUCCCUGUGCUUGUGGGGCUCUGUGUAGUAACUGCCCCCUGGGAACUUGUAUACAGCAAAAUGGAAAGCAGAGGCUGAUUUCUUUCUACUUAAUCUGUGUGGGGCCAGGGAGAAAACAAGGGGUUCAGCACGGAGUCUUUCUUCCCUUUGGGGUCUGGCUAGGGAAACAGAUGCACAUGUCAGGCAAGUUCAGGAGACCUUUUAAUAAGCUCUCUGCUCCCUUCCCAUUGGGAUCCCAUCUCACAGCCGCUGGGCUCCUAACUCCAGGUAGCAACCACUCUAUAGCCCCGUCUGGCUCCUUUCCCAAGGAAGAGCAGUAUCCCACCAUUGUCCAGGAGCAGGGCAGCGUCUGUGAACAGGUACCUUCCGGGUCUCACACUGUGUCCCAGACUGGUCUGAAACUAUCUAUGUGUAGCCCAGGCAGAAGUGGCAUACGCAGCAAUUCUCCUGUCUCAGUGUCCUGGCUGCUGAGCUUGCAGGCUGACAGUGAGUAGUCUGAGAGAAACGGAUACACUUAGCGGUCUGCCUGCUGACCACAUGGCUGAGCUCUGCAUAACAGCCUCGAGGGGCUUUGCAGUUGACAAAUGACUCUCAUGCAAUGUCAUAACUCUCCGGAGGAGGUAUUCGUCCCCCUAAUUUACAGCUAAGGAAACUGAGGUGGCUUGCUCACCACCAUAGGUAGGGACCAGUUAUCCACAGUUCACAGCUUCACACAGAGGAGAACUCGGCCCGGAAGCUCGUGGGCUGAGAGAAGGAAAAAAAAAAACAGCAAGAUGGUUGAGGGCUGGGAUUAUGGUAUCAAAACCUAGGCUGAGGACUUGGGAAACCAGUAAGUGGGUCCUGGCUCUACUGUCUCUUGUCCUCUGACCAAAGAGCAU